CACAUUAUACAACAACGAUUCGUAUUUCAUAACUAGAGUGCUGUUUAUUACGUUUUGCUUUCGACUUUGUGAGUCAGUUAUCAGUUGAACAUAUUCGCGUACGCCACUAUCUCUGUCCGUUGUGUGCAGUGUCUCAUUAUGAACUACAAACGCUGAAUAAGCCGGGAAACCCACGGCGCGGCGUAUGCAAAUUGUAUCUGUCUGCCGAGUGUCGUCGGAUUGCACCAAUAAAAAUGAUGUGGUGGGCAGUAUGGUGCGCGGCGAUGGUGGCCGGCAGCGUGUUCACUGCAGCGGCACCCCCAACUGACUCCAUCGACCUCAUGCAAAUGGAUCCUUCUCUAGCUGACGAUGAAAGUCUGGGAUUUGCAAUGCAAUCUCUGAGCGGUCGUUACGCCGCUGCUCCCUGGCUCUACCUUCUUGCUGACGUGUCACACGACCCCCAGAGAAUGGCCGAAUUCUCCCAGUCUUCGGGUCGGGCGCGGCCGAAACGCAAGAUGCCGUCGCUGUCUAUCAACAACCCGAUGGAAGUGCUUCGGCAGCGGCUGUUGCUUGAGGUGGCCCGUAAGCAAAUGCGCGAGGCUAACCAGAGACAGGCUGUCGCCAAUCGACUUUUCCUGCAGAACGUCGGCAAACGAGGUAAUUUAAUCAGUUGUGAACACGAGUCAUAGACAUAACUAGCCGUACUCGCCCGCUUCGCUGGGCAUUUAAAAUUAACAUUAUUAUUUAUUGUCUUUAUUAUUAGGGAGUCCAACACUCGUAUAAAUAUUAGCCUAUCCAUUAAGUACAUGUAUUUUCUACAUGGAUACCAAGUUUCAAGUCAAUCGGAUGCAUGGUUCAAUAGUUAUAACGGAACAUCCGUAAAAACCACUGUAGAUUUAUAUUAGGUAGAUUAAUACUAUUUUACGGUUUCAGAAAUAAUAAAAUACCAAUAAAAAAAAGCAUUUUACCUUCAAAAUAGUUUUGAUUAGGGUUUUAUUAGCUUGGUGUGUAUGUUCGUUUGUAUAAAGCAAAAUUUAUUAACGUCAUUUAAUAGACUUUAAAAGGUGCGAUUAAUUUGAAAACUUGCGCACGCAUGAAGGACCGAUAAUAAUGGUUUAGUUUUAUUAUUUUAGUUUAUUAUUUUAUUAUUUAGUUAUAUUAUUAACAUCGCUUUAAUAUAACUAGGAGUUUGUUUCGUUUAUUCUAUUUAUGUGUUUUUUUAGAUUUAAGCUAAAUACACAUAUUAUUAAACUACACUAGUAAUUUUCGUGUAAGUUAAUAUCGUGUUAGUAACAUUAGUCAAUAAAUAAGAGGGGAACACAUUAAAAACGUACCGUAAAUCAAAUUAAGUAUGAAAGUUGAAUUUGAAUGUCUCUAACAUGUUGUGUAUAUAGAGGUACCUAGGUACGUAUGUACUUAACUUCAUGAAUCUAUAUAUUAAUACGUGAAGCAAAAACUUUGUGGUACCUAUCCUUGUGUACUCACAAGAGGUCCUACCACCAGUAAAAAUGUUAUAACUAUAAUAGAUUUUAAAGUCUUAGAAUUUACGCUAUAGCCUUUUAUUUAAAUUAUUUUGCACUAUAGCCUUUGUAGUCGAUACCGAUAACAAAUAUAAUAUGUAGAUGCGAUAUUAAAAAUUAUAUAGAAUAUGUAGAUGCGAUAUUAAAAAUUAGUGUUUUUUAAUAUUUUUAUUGUUCUCGAAGAUAGACGUGUAAGAUGGUGUAGUAUUAUUAUUAUUACCUUUUUUUAUUGCCGCUGUAGGCAGACGAGCAUACGGCCCAUCUGAUGGUGAGUGGUUACCGUCGCCCAUGGACUUCAGCAACGCCAGGGGCAGAGCCAAGCCGCUGCCUACCGCUAAUUUGAUGGUAACGACGAUUUAUGAGGUUUUGUUUUUUAUUAUUACGUUUAAGGUGCAUGGGGCGAGCCCGCUUCGUACCUUUACAACAACUAGACCGCUGACUCCGGCCUGUACCACUGUAUUUGUUACCGCUGUCAUCGCUACUCAGCUGGAAGCGAGAUGACGGUCCAACAAACUUAAAAAUAUUAUUCGUUUUUAUUAGAAAUUUUAAUAUAACAUAGAAAGUUAAGAUUUGUUUGUUUUCAAUUUAUACGGAAUAUCGUUCCUAUGUUAGUUGUGAAUUAAAAAAAAAUUUUUAAAUGUUUCCUUGCUUAGAUUGUAUUUCAGAAACUAUAGAAUGUUUUAAAAUUAGUGUAUGUUAUUAGCUCAAUAUAUAUAUAUACGUGAUGUGUAAUUUUGGUGUCGUGCAUUCACAGAAAUGUUUAUACAUAUGAUGACGAUUGAUAAUAGAUUUUCUUUUAAACGCCACGUUAACUAAUUUGCUAAAGAAUAUUGCAUGUAGUAUACAUACAUACUAUUAUUAUUUUCUUGAAAUUAAUUUUGGUCGCGUAGUGAAUAUUCUGUUUGACGCCAGGAUUGCUUUAUUUGUGCCAAAAAGUUAAAUCAUGCGGCUUAUUUUGGCUCCUAAAUGUUAUGUUUCCUAAAAAUUGUUAGUGGUUAUGUCAGACGUAAAUGCUAUUAGUUGCUGUUAUUAGUUCAUAAGUGUAAUAUGUACAGCGUAAUUUUACGAAACCAGUAUUAAUUUUCAUUGUCUUGUAGAAUAUUUAAAGUAGAGAAACGUAAUAGAAACAUAUAAAUAACGAUCAAUAAAAUGUUACAUUAUUUAAA